UAGUGUAGCACUUAAAGUACUUCUUAGUGUGUACUCAGAAGACAAGGAAGGUGAGGCACGGAGGCCGAACCAGCCUGAACUGAGGCAGGAUGCCGAAUUGAAGGCGAUUCCGUAUCAAUUGAUGAAUGUAGUGUACACACAUAGAAGUACUUAAGUGCGUAACGU
rfam:Anaerosporobacter mobilis DSM 15930 genome assembly, contig: EJ17DRAFT_scaffold00012.12